GAUGAACGCUGGCGGCGUGCCUAAUACAUGCAAGUCGAGCGAACAGAUGAGGAGCUUGCUCCUCUGACGUUAGCGGCGGACGGGUGAGUAACACGUGGAUAACCUACCUAUAAGACUGGGAUAACUUCGGGAAACCGGAGCUAAUACCGGAUAAUAUAUUGAACCGCAUGGUUCAAUAGUGAAAGGCGGUUUUGCUGUCACUUAUAGAUGGAUCCGCGCCGCAUUAGCUAGUUGGUAAGGUAACGGCUUACCAAGGCAACGAUGCGUAGCCGACCUGAGAGGGUGAUCGGCCACACUGGAGCUGAGACGCGGUCCAGACGCCUACGGGAGGCAGCAGUAGGGAAUCGUCCGCAAUGGGCGAAAGCCUGACGGAGCAACGCCGCGUGAGUGAUGAAGGUCUUCGGAUCGUAAAACUCUGUUAUUAGGGAAGAACAAAUGUGUAAGUAACUAUGCACGGCUUGACGGUACCGAAUCAGAAAGCCACGGCUAACUACGUG
rnacentral:rRNA from 1 species